AAAUCAAAAAUAGAACUAAUAGAUAAUAAACAUGUUAAUAUUUAUUUUAGAACAAAAUAAUUACUGUAAAAUAUUUUUUGAAUUCACCAUUGUUACCACCAAAUUCGAAUGUGUUUCAAUUGUCCGUUGAUCUGCCCUCUAUAGUCGUUAGAUAUGAUAUUGCAUUCAUAUACUGUCUUCAGAUUACUUCAAGUUUAUUCGUGAUAGGGAAGAUCAGUAAUGUUUGAAUAAUUUUAAAACAUUAAUUUUCAAUAACUGCACUCAAUAUGAACUGAUAAAUGUUAUUAUGAUAUUGAUAAUCACUAAAUUGGCAAAUAUAGAUCAAUAAUUUUAUUAAACCGCAUCUUAUCAUGUCUGCCGAGCAUCACAGUGGAAAAGGUUAUACACCUCUUCCUCAGUGUAUGAGCAAUACUGACACCGAAGAUGAAGAUGAACAUGUAACACAAAGAAAUGAUUUAACAAACAAACAAACUAACGAUGAGAGAGAAACAACGGAGCCUACCACAGUUCACGAACAUGAAGCGUACUAUCCACUGGAUGAAACUAGAAAUUUAGCAAAUCGAACUAGGAAUGGGCAAAACAUAAUUAAAUGUUACAGAGAUGAUAUACCUAAAAUGAUAAUAGAAGGCAAUACGCAAAAUGAUCUAUGGAAACGCAGAGAUAUGUCUCCUCUUCGACGUUUCUGCUUAGUUAUAUCUAUACUAUUAUGCAUAGUAACAAUACUUGUGUUUUUGUAUGUUUUACCAUGUGACACUAUGAUAUGUCCACCAAUUAAUGAAUCACAAUCAUCUGUUUCAUGGGAGAAAACUUUAUGGAAUGUAGAAGUACCUGGGCCAAUAACUAUAAUACCUGGAUCUCAAUAUAAUCUCUUCUUUCGUACUUUUAUCUGGUAAUAUAGGACAACUCCUGGGAAAAUAUAUAAAACAUAAUUGUUCAUUAGUUAAUAUAUAUAAUCUUGUUUCUGAUGGCACUAUUUUAUAUUUAUGUCACGACAUGAAUGGCAAACGUAUAGCAAAGUACGUUUCGUUAAAAGCACUUCUCAAUGGUUCAAGUUUAUCGCAAAGAAAAAGGGAAAUAACAGCAUCGCCACGUAUAUUUAAAACGAUGAUGUUAGAUGAACAAAAUAAUUAUUGGAAGCCUACACGUUAUCAUCGUUUGAUAGUUGAAAAUGAAGGCAUAUGUUCUUGGGAAUCUUGUAAAGCUACUUUGAAUUUAACUCUUCAAAAACAACCAAAUCAAACAUUGAAAAUUUGGGAAUAUGUCAGCCCUAAUUCGUUUGCCUCAAAACCAGUCUUUUUAAUAACAUCACAAGAACCAUAUAGCACUGGAUUUGUAAUAAAAUUCUGGCAAUGGCUCGAUACAAAUCCUUCGGUAA